rnacentral:rRNA from 1 species
CCUACGGGAGGCAGCAGUAGGGAAUCUUUCACAAUGGGCGAAAGCCUGAUGGAGCAACGCCGCGUGCAGGAUGAAGGCCUUCGGGUUGUAAACUGCUUUCAUAAGCGAGAAAUAUGACGGUAACUUAUGAAUAAGCAUCGGCUAACUACGUGCCAGCAGCCGCGGUCAUACGUAGGAUCCGAGCAUUAUCCGGAUUGACUGGGUGUAAAGAGUUGCGUAGGUGGCAUAAGAAGUAGCUAGUGAAAUCUGGUGGCUCAACCAUUCAGACUAUUAGCUAAACUGUUAAGCUCGAGACCGUUAGGGGUAACUGGAAUUUCUAGUGUAGGAGUGAAAUCCGUAGAUAUUAGAAGGAACACCAAUAGCGUAGGCAGGUUGCUGGGACGGUUCUGACACUAAGGCACGAAAGCGUAGGGAGCAAACGGGAUUAGAUACCCGGGUAGUC